GGCACUAUAGCCAAGUGGUUAAGGCGACAGAUUAGAAUACUUGUGGCGUGCGAGGAUGUAUCUAUCUGUUACUCUCUGAGUGCGCAGGUUCAAAUCCUGCUGGUGUCG
rnacentral:tRNA from 1 species